GGGGCGACAAUGGAGGGAAAUCCAUGGAUAUCCACGCAGCAGCCCCUCUUUAACCUCAUCUACAAGCAUUUGCCCUGUGGAUUCCAGCAUUUGCUAUUCCUGGAAUCAAGGAAUCCCAAGUCUGGGCAAUGAAACCAAAGCCAGGAGUUGAUGAAUUCUGCAGUCGGGCCAGCUGUCGCACCUCAGCGGGGUGCACAUGUUAUCCACCAGCAAUGGACCUUUGGGGAGGGGGGAGUUUUUAGUUUGUUUUACAAAUUUUUCCUGCAAAAGUGGAAACACUGUAUUUUCAUUUUAAUUUAUAUUUGAAAUUUUAUUUAGUUCUUGAAGUAGAUCUGCUUCUUCAUCUUGACGUGUAAUGGUCAGUUGUACGUAAUGUACAAUACAUAACUAGUUUAAUUAACUAUGUGAUGUUAACUAUUAUUAAUAAAUUUUAACAUUUUCCAAAAUAAAUAAAAAA
rnacentral:lncRNA from 1 species